GCCUGGAAAUCCACGCGGAUUCCCGGAGACGGCGCCUCUGCUCUGCGGGUUCGUGGCGAGGAAGUCCACCCACUGCUCCCGGGCGCAGGUCUGCAGGUCCGCGCCCACUGCCCGCGGCGCCACUGACCAUGUCGGUGACUGAUCAGGCUUUUGUCACACUGGCCACCAAUGACAUCUACUGCCAGGGCGCCCUGGUCCUGGGGCAGUCACUGAGGAGACACAGGCUGACGAGGAAGCUGGUGGUGUUGAUCACUCCUCAGGUGUCCAGCCUGCUCAGGUGCUGUCCAAUGUCGAUGAGCUGUUUGACAGGGGAGAGUUUUCUGCGGCCCCGGACCCCGGAUGGCCGGAUUGCUUCAAUAGCGGGGUGUUUGUCUUCCAGCCUUCUCUCCACACGCAUAAACUCCUGCUGCAGCACGCCAUGGAGCACGGCAGCUUUGAUGGGGCGGACCAAGGCUUACUGAAUAGUUUCUUCAGGAACUGGUCAACCACAGACAUCCACAAGCACCUGCCGUUCAUCUAUAAUUUGAGUAGUAACACUAUGUACACUUACAGCCCUGCCUUCAAGC
rnacentral:sRNA from 1 species